rnacentral:rRNA from 1 species
UACGUAGGGGGCAAGCGUUGUCCGGAUUUAUUGGGCGUAAAGAGCGUGUAGGCGGCCAUGUAGGUCCGUUGUGAAAACUCGAGGCUCAACCUCGAGACGCCGAUGGAAACCAUGUGGCUAGAGUCCGGAAGAGGAGAGUGGAAUUCCUGGUGUAGCGGUGAAAUGCGCAGAUAUCAGGAAGAACACCCGUGGCUAAGGCGGCUCGCUGGGACGGUACUGACGCUGAGGCGCGAAAGCGUGGGGAGCAAACAGG